rnacentral:lncRNA from 1 species
AUGAAAACAGAUGAGAAAUGGAUGGGAUCAACACCAAUGCAAAGCUCAAGAUGUCUAGUAUGCACAUAUGAAAUUUCAUGAUCAUACAAUAAGGCAUGAGGAUUUCCCAAAUGAAAUGGCAAGAAGUGUUACACAAAGUCAACAUUUGACUAGGCAGGGAAGAAAAUUCACAAACAAAUAGGAAAUGGCAUCAUUAAAUCCAAGAAAAUUCACACAUCAACUAGACACAUAAGAGAUGGCUCAUGCAAAAUUUCACAUUAUUUGAAGACCAGGAAUCAUGUCAACAAAAAUCAUGAAAAUGCACAACAAUGGUGUGACACAAAUUGUCACACCCUACUUCAAAAAU